rnacentral:misc_RNA from 1 species
UUUCCGUAGGUGAACCUGCGGAAGGAUCAUUACUGAGUGAGGGCCCUCUGGGUCCAACCUCCCACCCGUGUUUAUUAUACCUUGUCGCUUCGGUGAGCCCGCCUCACGGCCGCCGGGGGGCAUCUGCCCCCGGGCCCGCGCACACCGAAGACACCUAGAACUCUGUAUGAAGAUUGCAGUCUGAGCAAAAACUAAAUAAGUUAAAACUUUCAACAACGGAUCUCUUGGUUCCG